rnacentral:rRNA from 1 species
UACGUAGGGUGCGAGCGUUGUCCGGAUUUAUUGGGCGUAAAGAGCUUGUAGGCGGUUUGUCGCGUCUGCUGUGAAAUUUCGGGGCUCAACCCCGAACUUGCAGUGGGUACGGGCAGACUAGAGUGUGGUAGGGGAGACUGGAAUUCCUGGUGUAGCGGUGAAAUGCGCAGAUAUCAGGAGGAACACCGAUGGCGAAGGCAGGUCUCUGGGACGGUACUGACGCUGAGACGCGAAAGCGUGGGGAGCGAACAGG